rnacentral:rRNA from 1 species
UCCGGGGGCGGCCUACCAUGCAAGUCGAACGGGUAACAGGAAGAAGCUUGCUUCUUUGCUGACGAGUGGCGGACGGGUGAGUAAUGUCUGGGAAACUGCCUGAUGGAGGGGGAUAACUACUGGAAACGGUAGCUAAUACCGCAUAACGUCGCAAGACCAAAGAGGGGGACCUUCGGGCCUCUUGCCAUCGGAUGUGCCCAGAUGGGAUUAGCUAGUAGGUGGGGUAAAGGCUCACCUAGGCGACGAUCCCUAGCUGGUCUGAGAGGAUGACCAGCCACACUGGAACUGAGACACGGUCCAGACUCCUACGGGAGGCAGCAGUGGGGAAUAUUGCACAAUGGGCGCAAGCCUGAUGCAGCCAUGCCGCGUGUAUGAAGAAGGCCUUCGGGUUGUAAAGUACUUUCAGCGGGGAGGAAGGGAGUAAAGUUAAUACCUUUGCUCAUUGACGUUACCCGCAGAAGAAGCACCGGCUAACUCCGUGCCAGCAGCCGCGGUAAUACGGAGGGUGCAAGCGUUAAUCGGAAUUACUGGGCGUAAAGCGCACGCAGGCGGUUUGUUAAGUCAGAUGUGAAAUCCCCGGGCUCAACCUGGGAACUGCAUCUGAUACUGGCAAGCUUGAGUCUCGUAGAGGGGGGUAGAAUUCCAGGUGUAGCGGUGAGAAUUGCGUAGAAAA